rnacentral:rRNA from 1 species
AUUGAACGCUGGCGGCAGGCCUAACACAUGCAAGUCGAACGAGUGGCGGACGGGUGAGUAAUGUCUGGGAAACUGCCCGAUGGAGGGGGCUAACUACUGGGAAAGGUAGCUAAUACCGCAUACCAUCGGCAGUGCCCCGAUGGGAUUAGCUAGUAGGUGGGGUAACGGCUCACCUGGGCGACGAGCCCUAGCUGGUCAGAGAGGCAGAACAGCCACACGGGAAUUGAGACACGGUCCAGACUCCUACGGGAGGCAGCAGGGGGGAAUAUUGCACAAUGGGCGCAAGCCUGAGGCAGCCAUGCCGCGUGUAUGAAGAAGGCCUUCGGGUUGUAAAGUACUUUCAGCGAGGAGGCGUUACUCGCAGAAGAAGCACCGACUAACUCCGUGCCAGCCGCCGCGGUAAUUC